CGGCAUGCCUUACACAUGCAAGUCGAACGGCAGCACGGGAGCAAUCCUGGUGGCGAGUGGCGAACGGUGAGUAUGUAUCGGAACGUACCUUCAGUGGGGAUAACGUAGCGAAAGUUACGCUAAUACCGCAUAUUCUGUGAGCAGGAAAGCAGGGGGAUCGCAAGACCUUGCGCUGAUUGAGCGGCCGAUAUCAGAUUAGCUAGUUGGUGAGGUAAAGGCUCACCAAGGCGACGAUCUGUAGCGGGUCUGAGAGGAUGAUCCGCCACACUGGAACUGAGACACGGUCCAGACUCCUACGGGAGGCAGCAGUGGGGAAUUUUGGACAAUGGGCGCAAGCCUGAUCCAGCCAUGCCGCGUGAGUGAAGAAGGCCUUCGGGUUGUAAAGCUCUUUCAGCCGGGAAGAAAACGCAUGGGUUAAUACCCUGUGUGGAUGACGGUACCGGAAUAAGAAGCACCGGCUAACUACGUG
rnacentral:rRNA from 1 species